CAAAUAUAUUAAGAGGCUGCGAUGACCAGACCAUUUAUGGAUACAAGAUAAAUGACAGACAUAGCACUACCACUACAGAUUGCAGGAAGAAGGUCUUUUCAAGAAGUGGUGCCAGAACAAUCUGGAAAUAAAAGAUUUAUACUUCCCAUUAAACACAAACAUCAAUUCUAGCCCCCAAGGACUGGGAUCAAUAUUGGAAACCUGUGCUUUAGUUCUUCCACCUCUGCUGCUGCUAUGCUGUGUGACCUCAGGACUGGGCCGACUGGGAGCACCAUGUGGAGAACAGAGACAAACUGGAGUGCCUUGGGGAGGAAGGAGGAGAGCACAGUCUCUGAGUCAGCCAUGAGGCAGAGCAAAUACAAGUGGUCAUGCAGGAAGAAGAGUGCUGGUUCUGCGGGGUCCUAAGAGGGAGAUGUACGGGGGGUGUGCUUUGUUCAAUAUGACAACACUACCAAUGGUUUAGUUCUUACUGCAUGAGCUUUACAUGUGGUGUAUCUUUCUGGCCUUGAAACUAUCCUGCAGGGUAAAACAACUGUCCCCCAUCAUAAGAAAUGAAGGUAACAGUGCAUGUUCUCCCCUCAGCCUGGGACAGCUUCACCAGGCAAAUUCCUGCUCAUUCUCCAGGCCAUCUCCCCAGAGAAGUCCUUCCUCAACCUCAAGAACACAUCGAGUUCUCUGUCUUCUGUUCCCACAGGACCCUGCAGUCACCCCUCCUAGCUCUUGCUGUAACAGUAGACACAUGAUUUCGGUGUAAAUAUGGACAGGACAGGAGGCAGGGCUGGACACUGCUACAUGCCCCAGAACAGUGCCUGUCCUAUGAUAUCCAAGGAAUAAUUAUCUAAUGAGUGAGAUGGAGCAGGGAACCCUCUUAGGGGCCCUGCAGCACCGCCCCCGCCAAGCAUGGAAAUAAAAUCUUGAGUUUCUUCAAGGGAAAUUCCAGGCACCUAGCUAGCCCUGAGAAGUAAAUAAGCAAGCUGAUAAGCAAGAAGGUAAUAGUAACUAACUUAAAACAACAGCCAAGGAAGCUAGAAUCAUGGGAUGUUUGAUUCCCUACAGAAAUUAAAGAUAACAUCUUCACAUAUGAACCAGAGUUCUUUUUCAGAAACCUGGACCCACACCAAACAGAUGUGCUGGCAUGCAUGCAGACCUCAGAUAAGAGGGAACUGCAGGCCGAACUCUGACCGCAGUUCCAGUUCUUUGUUCUAAACUUAUUCUUAGGAGGCCUGGAAGAAGCCAUACCCACAAGCUGGAGCUAACAUUCUUUUCUGCUGACCCUAAAUUUUAAAACAAAGCUUCUCUUCCUUACCCAAUUGCAAAGCAGAAACUCUCUGAAAUCUACCUAUGACUAUAAGCCCCCACCCACUUCAAGACGAUAGCCUGCCCCUUUGGGCUAAACCAAUGUGUAACCUCCAUACAAUGACUUAUAACUUUGCCUGAAACUUCUGCUUUCCUGAAAUUUACCCCUGCCUUUAAAAACCCUUGUUUGCAAGCCAUUGGAGAGGUGGGGUGUUAAGAGAGAACUGCUCAGUUCUCCUUGCUUGGUACUCUGAAAAUAAACACCCUCCUUUCUCCUGCAGUAAACCUCAGCGUGGAUGUUUGUUUUUACUGUGCCA
rnacentral:lncRNA from 10 species